AUUGAACGCUGGCGGCAUGCUUUACACAUGCAAGUCGAACGGUAACAGGUUAAGCUGACGAGUGGCGAACGGGUGAGUAAUGCAUCGGAACGUGCCCGACCGUGGGGGAUAACGCAGCGAAAGCUGCGCUAAUACCGCAUACGAUCUGAGGAUGAAAGCGGGGGACCGUAAGGCCUCGCGCGAUCGGAGCGGCCGAUGUCAGAUUAGGUAGUUGGUGGGGUAAAGGCCCACCAAGCCGACGAUCUGUAGCUGGUCUGAGAGGACGACCAGCCACACUGGGACUGAGACACGGCCCAGACUCCUACGGGAGGCAGCAGUGGGGAAUUUUGGACAAUGGGCGAAAGCCUGAUCCAGCAAUGCCGCGUGCAGGAAGAAGGCCUUCGGGUUGUAAACUGCUUUUGUACGGAGCGAAAAGGUCCUUUCUAAUACAAGGGGCUCAUGACGGUACCGUAAGAAUAAGCACUGGCUAACUACGUGCCAGCCGCCGCCGUAA
rnacentral:rRNA from 1 species